ACACAUAAACAUAAAAAGCUGCUCCCCUCUCAGCCCCUGCAGAACUCAGUCCCCAUCCUACCCCGCAAACUCUCUCUCUCAUACUACAGACACACUGACUGUGAGAUUUAUUAAUGGGCAAACUUAAUGUGGUAUUUAUUAAUGGGCACACUGACCGUGAUAUUUAAUAAUGAGCACAGUGACUGUGAUAUUUAUUAAGGUGCAAACUGACUGAUAUUUAUUAAUGGGCACAAUGACUAUGGUAUUUAUUAAUGGGCAAACUGACUCUGAUAUUUAUUAAUGGGCAAAUUGACUAUGAUAUUUAUUAAUUGGCAAAAUGACUGUGUCAUGUUCUGUUGGGCAAAGUGACACUGUUCUGUGUAUGCACUUUAUUACUCCUAUUUUUUUAAUAUAUUUUUUUGCUUGUGGGAUGCUGCAUAAUUCUGGGAAGUGCUUUGUUGUGCCUUGGGUGCGAAAAGGUUGAGGAGCCAUUUUAACAUCUUAAUAUAAUCUUUCUUUCAUAAAAUAGAAUCUCUUAAUUUUUGAUUUGGCAUUGAGUCAGAUAACUGACAGUCCCAAUUUGUAUAAAGAAAGCUGUCAGAAACGGAGAGUGGGAAAGGUGGGCGAAUGUCUUAGUUCAGAAAUUUCUUUAUUAAUUAGAAAAUUUCAAUAAACAUAAAUUUAAAAAAAGAGAUGGUGUAUUAUAAACAUUAUAUUAAGUUUCUUAAAAUGAUCCCUUAAGGACAGAGGCACUUGUGCAAGUCCGCAUAAAAACAAAUCUAAGAAUUUUAACUGAAUGUCUGUUCAACCACAAUUUACCUCUUUCAUAUUAAGUGCACCCACACUUAUUAUAUAUAAUUUUGCUCAGGAGAAAUAGGGCUUUUAUUUUACAUCAAAUAUUUAUAUAUGAAAUUGAAUAUGAAUAAAAUAUAAAAAAGCGUGAGAAAUUAAGCAAAUUUGCUAUUUUCCAAGUUCUGCAUGGAAUUCUAACUGUGAAUGUCAUAAUACUGUUAGCAUUUACUGCAAUAAAAUACACAUUUUUAUUCAGCGAUGUCUCACAUGUACAACAAUGCCCACCAUGUACAGGUUUUAUGGUGUUUUGAAAAGUUACAGGAUCAAAUAAAGAGCUUGCCCAUUUCAAUUUUUACACAUGUUGCAUUUUGCACGUUAUGGCAGCCUAGGAAUGAGAAUUACCC